CAGGGAAGCAAUUCUGCACGACAGAUGCCCCGGAAGGGGGCGA
rnacentral:SRP_RNA from 15 species